rnacentral:rRNA from 1 species
CAAGGGCACGGCAGAUUAGCCACCUCCGGAAGGGAUAACCGCUGAAAGCAUCUAAGUGGGAAACCCGUUCGAAGAUGAGUGUUCCCAUGCGGUUAACGCAGUAAGGCCCGUGGCAAGACCACCACGUUGAUAGGCCGGAAGUGUACGCACAGCAAUGUGUUUAGCUGACCGGUACUAAUCGGCCGAGGGCUUGGAUCUC